ACGAGAGAAGGGGGGCUUAGAAAGAGAGGGAGAGAAGGGCCGCAGGAGGUUUUCUUUGGAUAGCUAACGAUGGAGAAGAACGUGUGACGGCCAACGAUGGGCGAGAGAAAAAGAGGCCGCUCCUUCGCCUCAGCGGUUUAGGGUUUCUGCUAAGCUCCGAGAAGAAAGCCACAUAUACUUGGUCUGAAGUUUCUACCAUUUUCUCCUCACCUGUUUCAAGGUUGGAUGCUUUAAUAUUAGCAUGUUGCAUGGAUGACAUAAUUGAAGUUUGUAAUCUUCUUGGGUGAAGCAAUAUGACACUAGAAGAUUUCUUUACCCUUACCGAGAUGAAGAAUGGCCUUUCAACUCUUGCACGAGUUGAAGAGCUGAUUUCAGUGAUGGAAAGGCAGAAAGAUUUUGUUAUGAAUAAUGCAGGCGAUACUGCAAGACAGUGGUCAACUGUUGCAAGCACCUUAGCAGCUACAGAAAACAAGGAUUGUCUUAAACAUUUUAUUGACUUAAAUGGACUCUUCUUUCUCAAUCAGUGGCUUCAAGAAGCUUUGAAGUGCAGUAAUGAUGUUAGUAGCAGUACCAUGGAAGAAGUAAUAAAUUCACUACUUGAAUCCCUUGAGAGGCUUCCACUUGACAAGGAAAAGUCAACUGCUUAUGGAAUUUGGGUCACUGCUGAACAACUGCUAGAUCAAGAAAACCCUAGCAUAAAGGAAAGGGUGAGGAAUUUACUUGAUAAAUGGAACAAUAGAAGGGUUGACAAUGUUAGUAACCAGGAUACGGAGACUGGUGGGACAUCGCAAGAUAACCAGUACAAGCCUUCAGCUGAUGCAAACACAGUUGAGGUUGUACAUUCACUGCAUCCAGUUGACAUUUCUUCACACAAUGUAAUGCCUCAGGAGGGGACUUGCUGGGUAGACUUUGCUGGGACUGAGUCUCACCACUCAAAUUCCACAAAAUGCUCUGACAGUCCCCAAUUGGAUUCAAACAGUGAUGUAAAAAUUUCUACACCAAAUCACACUUUGCCAACUGAGUCUCCAAAUUCAGCAAAUGCAAAUGCAAAUGAAGAAGAGAUUAAUUCACUGGGCUCCUCUCAUGUAUCAAAUUCUUGUCAGGAAAACUUUGCUAUUACCGAAGAGUCUUCUGUCCCAGUAGUGGAAAUGGCUUCUGCUCACUUAUGUAGUUCCACUGGUGGGAGGGGAAAGGAUGCCGAUAAAGAGUCUGAAGCUUCAGAAUUAAACGAUGUUGAUAGUGCAAAAGACAUGAAGGUGGAGGUAGAGGUGAAUAUAACAGAAGGUGACCUAUGCAAAGCUAGUCAAAAAGAAAGUUGUAAUGCUUCACCGUCUUCUAGUGUAUCUCUGUCUUUAUCUGCACAGAAGAUGGAGUCCACUGUAUCAUACAAUUUUGCUUCGAGGGAGAGCAAAAGUUGUAUAUCCAAGAAUGCAGAGCCUCAGCCAACGAAUAAGGGUGCUGAUUGCGGGUUGCCAAAGUAUCUAAUAAGCACCACAAAGGAGCUCAAUUGUGUUGCUUAUGUUGCCAAGGGUUCUCAAGAUUUGCUCAGCAGUGUCUGCAACCUAAGUAAAACAGAUGGUCAUGAGAAUUCUGUCCGAAUGAAAGAAGAUGUGGAAAGUGAUAGCAGCAUUAAAGAGCAUUGCGGUGAGGGGAAGUUGAAGGUAAGCGAGGGAUUGAACCUUGUGAUCCCUAGUAGUUCUUUGAAAACAGUAAGCAUGAAGGUUAUCGGUGAGAUGGACAGGAGGUCAGGAAUGGAACUUGAAUGUGGGGAGAUUGAUGCGUUGGAAGUCGCACGGCAAGUUGCUCUUGAAGUGGAACGUGAAGUUGUUGACUACAGAGAACCAUUCUGUAGCUCUUCGCCUGAUAAUGAUGAUUCAUGGGGGAGAGUGGAAACUUGUAGCCCUGAUUUGGUAGAAGGCAAGCAGGAUCAGCCAGUGAUGGAAGAACUAAAUGGGAAUGAGUUGCCAUCCAGGAAAGAUCUUUCUCAUGGUGCCUCUUCGCCCAAGGAUGAAAUUCCAAGAAUUCCAGCACAACACGGCAUUGAUACUGAGAGACAUGAGCACGUUUUCAAACCUGAGCUGACACCAGCUGCUCAAGAAACAGACUGUAAGAUUGACAAGAAUGUAUGGGACUUUGAUCUGAAUGAAGAUGUCUGCAAUGAGGAUGAUCACUCAAUUAACUCCAUGCAUAACACUCAAGUUAACCUGUCUGUACCUAAAGCUAGUGUUGCUGUUUCAAAAGGAGCUCCAGCAUUGCCAGUUAGCCCACUUUGCUUUGAAGGUGAACUGGGUUGGAAGGGUUCUGUUGUCAGGAGUGCUUUUCGCCCAGCCUCUCCUCGAAAAACUCCAGAUGCUGAGAAGACAUAUUUAGGUCCGAGAAAUAAAGCAAGCAUCCUUGAAAUAGACUUGAAUGUGGCCGAGAGUGAGGAUAAUGUGGCUGAUGAUCAAACAUCUGUAAAACAGCUACCUCAGUCCCUUGGCUUUUCUUAUGGGGAAUCUUCUAUUGAGGUUAGCUCAAGAAGAGCAGAGAGGCUGAAGCUGGAUCUUAAUCGCCUUGGAGAUGAGGAUACGCCACCGCAUCUAUCAUCAUUUUGGAAGCUUCAUCACCAGAAUGGAGAUCGGUGCCUGUCCACUGCUUCGUCAUCCUCGAGGCAUCCUUCAAUGAGAGAUUUUGACUUAAAUGACAACCCAUCUUUAUUUGACAUUGGCAGUUCUCAUAACCCGAACAAGUCAUCUUCCAAAGCCUCAGGCAUGUCUGGAAUCUCCAGACUUGAUGAUCCUGUUGUUACAAUUAUGGGAUCGAGGAUGGCUGUGGAAAAGAAGGAUUAUGGGAACCAAACUCGGCAGUCAUUUUUGGGGAAUGGACCAAGACCAAGUUUAGAGCCUGCUGUCUCUGCCCGACAGGUGCUGCCUUAUGCUCACAUGCGGCCACCUGCUUAUGGGUAUAAUGGGCAUGCCACUGUUCCUGCCAUGCCUUACCCUUCAGGACCGUAUGAUGGACUCGAGGGCAUCCCGUACAUGGUAGAUUCCGGAGGGGCCGCUGUUUUACCACAGAUGCUGCUUGGCUCGGCUGGACCGAGUGGUGCACACUCGGCCAUCCCCUCUUUUCUUGUGAGUGUGGUUGGUGCACCUGCGAGUUUGAACGGGGUUGGUUCUUCGCCAUCUAGUUUGGAUUUGAAUUCCGGCAUGACAUUUAUGGACAGCGGGAAUUGGGAACGAGGGGGUUAUAGGCAUUUUAUGCAAGGACACCCUGGUUUGAUAGAAGAGCAGACUAGGACUGCCUCGCAACUUGCUAGUUCCCAGAUGACACUGAAGCGCAAGGAACCAGACUCUGGGUGGGAACAUUGUAGCUUGGGCUACAAACAAGUCACACCUUGGCAAUAGCAUUCUCUCAGGCUAAUGGAUUCGUUAUGCGUUUUCUUUAUAAUUUUAAGGUUCUUUGGCCGUGGGAGGUGCUUUGGGUGAUCAGAAGGGUUCUUAUUUACAGGAUUGGUCCGGUGAGGAUGAAUCGGCCAAUUAACCAUGUCGGAGUGGCCUCAGAAAAGGUAGUGGAGAAAGUAUUCUUGGAUGUGUUCGAACAGAAAAUGGUAACCAUGCGAUUAUGUUUGGAUCAAUCGCCUAUCCUGGAUUUCAUGAAAAAAAGAAGAAUAUAUGGGUAACUUUAUGCUGAGCUGGAAAGUGCAAGGGCGAUGCAGCAUUUUUUUUUUCCAGAGAAAAGUUACAUAGGCUGUUGUUUAACUUUAUUAUUUCUCCUUUCACCAUCAGCUAGCACGACGGUUGUCAAUGUACUGUUAACGAGAUCUUCAAUGACAGUUUCAUGACAACUGUGCAACUCUUUCUUGUGAUAUUUGACUGCCACAUACUACAAUCUUACUCCCCCUUCCGGUAGCCUAGGUGGAGCUCAAGCUCAAUAGGCCUUGUCAGCAUCUUUGCUUUGCCCCUUGC